rnacentral:rRNA from 1 species
UAUCUACCCUUUGGCCUGGAAUAACACGAGGAAACUUGUGCUAAUACCGGAUAAGUCUUUACGGAGAAAGCUUUAUGCACCAUUGGAUGAGCCUGCACUUGAUUAGUUUGUUGGUGGGGUAAUGGCCUACCAAGACUGUGAUCAAUAGCUGAUUUGAGAGGAUGAUCAGCCACAUUGGGACUGAGACACGGCCCAAACUCCUACGGGAGGCAGCAGUGGGGAAUCUUGCACAAUGGAGGAAACUCUGAUGCAGCGAUGCCGCGUGAGUGAAGAAGGCCUUUGGGUUGUAAAGCUCUUUCGUCGGGGAAGAAAAUGACUGUACCCGAAUAAGAAGGUCCGGCUAACUUCGUGCCAGCAGCCGCGGUAAUACGAAGGGAACUAGCGU